UCGUAUAAGUUAUGCUUCUCCAUCAAUCGCGCAGAAGCUCGCCGCCAAGACCCGCCGAGAUCCGCCGGGUUUAGAGUUUUCCCGGACAAUUCUUCACCAAUUCCGACCGUCUCUCUCUCUGUGAAUCCCUCUUCCACUGGUAAAGACAAUCCCGAUUGCUAAUCGUUAUGUCAAAGCGGAAUCAGUUGUUCAUGCUGUUGAGGAGAAGUUCACAUUCGCUGUCUAACGAUGCGCCAACAGAGACUUUAAGAGAAAGGGUAGCUGCUGUAAGAAAGGGGAAGACGAGGAAGAAUCCUAAGAAGAACGAGUUUCUAGUUGAUGUUCCAGAAUCUAGAUCGUUCCUGGACACAGCAACCCUGCCUAUGUAUCUUGCUGUGGCUGGUAUCGCACUCUUUGCCAAGAUCUUGAUGAUGAUUGAUGAGUCAAAAUCCCAAGAAACGAUUGAACGCAAAAUAAAAGACGCCCCACCUGGUCAAGGAACGGUGAGGAUGCUAACCCGAGAGGAGUGGGAAGAGUUUCGGGAAGUAAGGCCGAGGACCCCCUUUGAGUCCAAGCUUGCUCGUCCAAACGCACGUAUAAGAACGGGAGAGCCUGUCCAAAAGGAGGACUUGAAGAAUUGGACGAUAGAUGUGAUAACCGAUGCUCUUGCCCGCACGGAAGAAAGCGUCCGUCGAGGUUCCAAUUGAUUCUCAUGAGCAGACCGGGAAUUUCCUCGGGUUCUUGGCCUCCUCUAGUUAAGUAUUUCCAGAACUCGAGACAUGUUGCAGAAUACGGACUAAAGUACAUCCAAUUCAACACAGUUAACGCGUAAAGCUCAUGAAGGGUAUUAUGAAGUUGCAACCAGCUGUUGUCUCCAUGGAAAAAGGAGCAUCAAUGGAGGUGGUCGAUUAAGAUAUAAACUUAGGAUUUAAAUCAUAUUCUAAUGUCUCUAUUUCAAUAAUGAUGAUGUCUAUCUAGGGUCAUGGAUGAUGAAAAUAUCUCUCUUUAGCAAAAGUUACCAAACCCGGAGAGGGAUUUAUUUCU